rnacentral:rRNA from 1 species
UACGGAGGGUCCAAGCGUUAUCCGGAUUUAUUGGGUUUAAAGGGUCCGUAGGCGGGUCAUUAAGUCAGUGGUGAAAUCCUACAGCUCAACUGUAGAACUGCCAUUGAAACUGAUGACCUUGAAUAUAAUUGAAGUGGGCGGAAUGUGUCAUGUAGCGGUGAAAUGCUUAGAUAUGACACAGAACACCGAUUGCGAAGGCAGCUCACUAAGUUAUUAUUGACGCUGAGGGACGAAAGCGUGGGUAGCGAACAGG